rnacentral:rRNA from 1 species
AUACUCUUUAGCUUGCUAGAGAGGAAAGUGGCGCACGGGUGCGUAACGCGUAUGCAACCUACCUUAAUCAGGGGGAUAGCCCGAAGAAAUUCGGAUUAACACCGCAUAAAAACACAGGAUAGCAUUAUCCAAUGUUCAAAUAUUUAUAGGAUUAAGAUGGGCAUGCGUGUCAUUAGCUAGUUGGCGGGGUAACGGCCCACCAAGGCGACGAUGACUAGGGGAUCUGAGAGGAUGACCCCCCACACUGGUACUGAGACACGGACCAGACUCCUACGGGAGGCAGCAGUAAGGAAUAUUGGUCAAUGGAGGGAACUCUGAACCAGCCAUGCCGCGUGCAGGAAGACAGCCCUCUGGGUCGUAAACUGCUUUUAUUCGGGAAUAAACCUACUUACGUGUAAGUAGCUGAAUGUACCGAAGGAAUAAGGAUCGGCUAACUCCGUGCCAGCAGCCGCGGUAAUACGGAGGAUCCAAGCGUUAUCCGGAUUUAUUGGGUUUAAAGGGUGCGUAGGCGGCUUAUUAAGUCAGGGGUGAAAGACGGUGGCUCAACCAUCGCAGUGCCCUUGAUACUGAUGAGCUUGAAUGGACUAGAGGUAGGCGGAAUGUGACAAGUAGCGGUGAAAUGCAUAGAUAUGUCACAGAACACCGAUUGCGAAGGCAGCUUACUAUGGUCUUAUUGACGCUGAGGCACGAAAGCGUGGGGAUCAAACAGGAUUAGAUACCCUGG